GAUGAACGCUAGCUACAGGCUUAACACAUGCAAGUCGAGGGGCAGCACGGUGUAGCAAUACACGGGUGGCGACCGGCGCACGGGUGCGUAACGCGUAUCCAACUUUCCCGUUACUCUCGGAUAGCCUUCCGAAAGGGAGAUUAAUACGAGAUGGUGUUCAGUUUCCGCAUGUUUACUGAACUAAAGAUUCAUCGGUAACGGAUAGGGAUGCGUGACAUUAGAUAGUUGGCGGGGUAACGGCCCACCAAGUCAACGAUGUCUAGGGGUUCUGAGAGGAAGGUCCCCCACACUGGAACUGAGACACGGUCCAGACUCCUACGGGAGGCAGCAGUGAGGAAUAUUGGUCAAUGGGCGCAGGCCUGAACCAGCCAAGUAGCGUGAAGGAUGAAGGUUCUAUGGACUGUAAACUUCUUUUAUACGGGAAUAACAUCACUACGUGUAGGUGCCUGCAUGUACCGUAUGAAUAAGCAUCGGCUAACUCCGUGCCAGCAGCCG
rnacentral:rRNA from 1 species